CGUAGGGGGCUAGCGUUGUCCGGAUUUAUUGGGCGUAAAGAGCGCGUAGGCGGCCGAGUAAGUCCGACGUGAAAUCUGGAGGCUCAACCUCCAGCGGUCGUUGGAAACUACCCGGCUAGAGUCCGGAAGAGGAGAGUGGAAUUCCUGGUGUAGCGGUGAAAUGCGCAGAUAUCAGGAAGAACACCGAUGGCGAAAGCAGCUCUCUGGGACGGUACUGACGCUGAGGCGCGAAAGCGUGGGGAGCGAACAGGAUUAGAUACCCUGGUAGUCCACGCCGUAAACGAUGGGUGCUAGGUGUGGGCGGUGUCGACUCCGCCCGUGCCGAAGCUAACGCAUUAAGCACCCCGCCUGGGGAGUACGGCCGCAAGGCUA
rnacentral:rRNA from 1 species